rfam:Picea glauca, whole genome shotgun sequence.
AGGUGCGAUCACACCAAUGUUAAUGUACCGGAUCCCAUCGGAACUCCGCAGUUAAGCGAGCUUGGGAUAGAGUAUUACUGGGAUGGGUGACCUCCCAGGAAGUCCAAGUGUUGCACCCU